GAGGGUACAGCUUAGUGGUAGAGUGUGUGCCUAGCACGCAUGAGGUCCUGGGUUCAUUCCGCAGUAUCUCCA
rnacentral:tRNA from 1 species